rnacentral:rRNA from 1 species
AAGGAUGGGUCAGCGGCUGAUUAGGUUGUUGGUGAGGUAACGGCUCACCAAGCCCAUGAUCAGUAGGAGCCUUGAGAGAGGUAGCUCCGAGAAGGGCACUGAGAAAAGGGCCCUAGCCCUACGGGGUGCAGCAGGCGGGAAACCUUUACACUGUGCGCAAGCACGAUAAGGGAAUCCAAAGUGCCUAUACUUCGGUAUAGGCUUUUUGCAAGAGUAAAUAUCUUGUAGAAUAAGUGGUGGGUAAGACGGGUGCCAGCCGCCGCGGUAAUCCCCGCGCCACAAGUGGCGACCGCAUUUAUUGGGCCUAAAGCGUCCGUAGCAGGCUAAGUUAGUUCCUUGUGAAAUCGUGUGGCUUAACCAUACGGCGUGCAAGGGAUACUGCUUAGCUAGGAACUGGGAAGAGUAGAGGGUAUUUCUGGGUUAGCGGUAAAAUGCUAUAACCCCAGAAGGACCGCCAAUGGCGAAGGCACUCUACUGGAACAGGUUCGACUGUGAGGGACGAAAGCUAGGGGAUCAAUCCGGAUUAGAUACCCGAGUAGUCCUAGCUGUAAACGCUGCGUGCUAGGCGUUGCCAGAACUACAUGUUUUGGCAGUGUCGUAGUGAAGACGUUAAGCACGCCGCCUGGAAGACACGCAGGCAAGGCUGAAACUUAAAGGAAUUGGCGGGGAAGCACUACAACGGGUGCAUCGUGCGGUUUAAUUUAAUUCCACGCAGAGCAUCUCACUAGGAGCAACGGCAGGAUGAAGGUCGAGCUGAAGACUUUACUUGACGAGCCGAGUGGUGCUGCAUGGCCGUCGUCAGCUCGUGCCGUAAGGUGUCCUCUUAAGUGAGGCAACGAGCGAGACCCGUGUCUGCAAUUGCAAACGAGUACUCCGGUACGAUCGAGCACAUUGCGGAGACUGCCUUGGAAACAAGGAGGAAGGUUCGGGCAACGAUAAGUCUGUAUAGCCCUAAUCUCCUAGGCUACACGCGCGAUGCAAUGAUAGGGACAAUGGGAUACAACUCCGAAAGGAGAAGUUAAACCUCCAAACCCUAUCUUAGUACGAAUCGAGGUUUGUAACUCAGCCUCGUGACGCCGGAAUCCGUAGUAAUUGGAUUUUAUCAGAGUCCAGUGAAUAUGUCCCUGCUUCUUGCACACACCGCCCGUC